rnacentral:rRNA from 1 species
UGGGGAAUCUUGCGCAAUGGGCGAAAGCCUGACGCAGCCAUGCCGCGUGAGUGAUGAAGGCCUUAGGGUUGUAAAACUCUUUCACCGGGGACGAUAAUGACGGUACCCGGAGAAGAAGCCCCGGCUAACUUCGUGCCAGCAGCCGCGGUAAUACGAAGGGGGCUAGCGUUGCUCGGAAUUACUGGGCGUAAAGGGCGCGUAGGCGGAUCAGCAAGUUGGGGGUGAAAGCCCGGGGCUCAACCUCGGAAUUGCCUUCAAAAACUGCUGAUCUAGAGUACGGGAGAGGUGUGUGGAACUCCGAGUGUAGAGGUGAAAUUCGUAGAUAUUCGGAAGAACACCAGUGGCGAAGGCGACACACUGGCCCGUUACUGACGCUGAGGCGCGAAAGCGUGGGGAGCAAACAGGAUUAGAUACCCUGGUAGUCCACGCUGUAAGCGAUGAUUGCUAGUUGUCGGCAGGCAUGCCUGUCGGUGACGCAGCUAACGCAUUAAGCAAUCCGCCUGGGGAGUACGGUCGC